rnacentral:rRNA from 1 species
GAUGAACGCUAGCGGCAGGCAUAAUACAUGCAAGUUGAACGCUGAGGACAGCAGCAAUGUUAUCCUUGGAGUGGCGCACGGGUGCGUAACACGUAUGCAAUCUGCCCCUAACAGGGGAAUAGCCCGGCGAAAGUCGGAUUAAUACCCCAUAACAAUGCGAACCGGCAUCGGUUUGUUUUUAAAGCUCCGGCGGUUAGGGAUGAGCAUGCGCGACAUUAGCUAGAUGGCGGGGUAACGGCCCACCAUGGCUACGAUGUCUAGGGGGUCUGGGAGGAUUUUCCCCCACACUGGUACUGAGACACGGACCAGACUCCUACGGGAGGCAGCAGUAGGGAAUAUUGGGCAAUGGACGCAAGUCUGACCCAGCCAUGCCGCGUGAAGGAUGAAGGCCCUAUGGGUUGUAAACUUCUUUUGUACGGGAAGAAACCCCUCUACGUGUAGGGGGCUGACGGUACCGUAAGAAUAAGGAUCGGCUAACUCCGUGCCAGCAGCCGCGGUAA